ACGAACGCUGGCGGCGUGCCUAAUACAUGCAAGUCGAACGCUUCUUUCCUCCCGAGUGCUUGCACUCAAUUGGAAAGAGGAGUGGCGGACGGGUGAGUAACACGUGGGUAACCUACCCAUCAGAGGGGGAUAACACUUGGAAACAGGUGCUAAUACCGCAUAACAGUUUAUGCCGCAUGGCAUAAGAGUGAAAGGCGCUUUCGGGUGUCGCUGAUGGAUGGACCCGCGGUGCAUUAGCUAGUUGGUGAGGUAACGGCUCACCAAGGCCACGAUGCAUAGCCGACCUGAGAGGGUGAUCGGCCAAACUGGGACUGAGACACGGCCCAGACUCCUACGGGAGGCAGCAGUAGGGAAUCUUCGGCAAUGGACGAAAGUCUGACCGAGCAACGCCGCGUGAGUGAAGAAGGUUUUCGGAUCGUAAAACUCUGUUGUUAGAGAAGAACAAGGACGUUAGUAACUGAACGUCCCCUGACGGUAUCUAACCAGAAAGCCACGGCUAACUACGUG
rnacentral:rRNA from 1 species